rnacentral:rRNA from 1 species
UACCUGCAGCUCGAGUGGUAACCGCUUUUAUUGGGCCUAAAGCGUCCGUAGCCGGUUUGGUAAACAUCUGGGUAAAUCGUGAGGCUUAACUUCACGAAUUUCGGAUAGACUGCCAGACUUGGGAUCGGGGGAGGUCAGAGGUACUCCAGGGGUAGCGGUGAAAUGUUGUAAUCCUUGGAGGACCACCGGUAGCGAAGGCGUCUGACUAGAACGAGUCCGACGGUGAGGGACGAAGCCCUGGGGCGCAAACCGGAUUAGAUACCCGGGUAGUCCAGGGUGUAAACAAUGUGGGCUUUGUAUUGGAGGUCCUACGUGGGCGUCCAGUGCAGAAGAGAAGUUGUUAAGCCCACCGCCUGGGAAGUACGGUCGCAAGGCUGAAACUUAAAGGAAUUGGCGGGGAGCACAGCAACGGGAGGAGCGUGCGGUUU